AGAACGAACGCUGGCGGCGUGGAUAAGACAUGCAAGUCGAACGCUGACUUUCAGGUAGCAAUAUUUGGAGGUCGGAGUGGCGCAAGGGUGUGUAACACGUGGGUAAUCUGCCGUGAAGACUGGAAUAACUCGCUGAAAGGCGAGCUAAUACCGGAUGUGAAUGUAAAUUCAAAGUUGGGGACCGCAAGGCCUGACGCUUUACGAUGAGCCCGCGGCCUAUCAGCUAGUUGGUGAGGUAACGGCUCACCAAGGCUAAGACGGGUAGCUGGUCUGAGAGGACGACCAGCCACACUGGAACUGAGACACGGUCCAGACACCUACGGGUGGCAGCAGUCGAGAAUUUUUCACAAUGGACGAAAGUCUGAUGGAGCGACGCCGCGUGGAGGAUGAAGGUUCUUGGAUUGUAAACUCCUGUCACUGCAGAACAAGGAUACGUUUGUGAAUAGCACGCGUAUUUGAUGGUAUGCGGAGAGGAAGGGACGG
rnacentral:rRNA from 1 species